UGCUCAAACCUGUUCGAAAUAAUAAAAAUGGCAGAUCAGCACAUAAGGUGGUUGUGAAGACGCAGCGAUGCACUGGUAAAUAAACUCUGCCAUUCACACACUCGAAAUAAUAAAGCUGUCGAUGGACGUUUUUGACCAAAAGGCUAUACAGUUUGAGUUAUUCGACAUAGUUCGACUUGACUCUCGGGGGUGAAAGUUUUAAGUUAGUUAUCAUUUCAAGGUUAAAACUAUUGAGUCUGAUAAAAAAUUAUAUGUAAGGGAUUUGUUUGGUUCGCUUCGGACUAUCGGAUACCGCAAAUAAUUUGUAAUGGAGAGGAAAGGUGUAAGUGUACAUCAGGUUGUUUUAGAACAGCCAAUGCAGCGAGUGAUGAUGGUGGGGACAUUGCAAGGCCACAGAGACUGGGAUACGGGACUUUUCGCAUGCUGUUCGGACUGCAAAACACUGUUGUGUACGUGGUUUUGCCUUCCAUGUGUCCUGUGUGACAUUAGCAAGCGUAUGGGAGAAUGUAUGUGCAUGCCUUUCUGCGUUCCGGAUGGUCUGCUUGCACUUCGUGCACGCAUGCGCACACUUGGCGGCAUUCAGGGCUCUAUUUGCAAUGACUGUCUGGUCCUGAAUUGUUGCGGCGCGUGUGCAGUGUGCCAGAUGAGAAGAGAAUUGGACGCUAUGGGCUUAUGAACAUAUUUCCAAUCACGCCCGUUGUCUGGAUGACUCGAACAUAUACACGAGUGUGGCAACAUCAUUAAUAUUUCGUGUAAGGUGGUGGCGGGAAAUGUUCAUAUUUCAUAUGUAAUAUUAUGCAGUAAGAUCACAUCUUACAUCACUUAAUUUCUAAUUACAAAAUGCAAACAAUCGUCAAAUAAAAAAAAACACGUUUACAUAACAGUGAAGGUAUUUACACAUUUGGUUAAGACAAACAAAACUGAAACACAGGACACACAUGAAGACUUUUGAAUUUUUAUGAGUAAUAGAAAUUGGAUCAUUAGUUAUAUACACUGCAUAUGUAUUAUUUUGAAUACUGUAAAACUUAUAGUGAUAUAUGUAUAUAUACUCUGUAAAAUAAAAAAAAAUGUAUAAUAAUCGUCAUAGGUCUAUGUACACGAAUGUGCGUCUGCAAAACAAAUCAUAUUCAUUUACAUUUGCAUCCAUUUUGCGGAGGAAGUUAAUUACAUGUUAAACAUUUAACACGCUUUCCGUUUAACAUUUCGAUAACAAUCUCUGGACACAGAUUUAUCGUUAUAAUGUAAUGCUUAAGGAUGAACUUCGUUAUGGCAUUAUAUUGUAUCAAGAAUUGUUAUAUACAUCACAAGUUAAUGAGGAUAGACUUAAAUAUACGUUCAAAUUUAAUUUGUUAACAUACUUGUCAACAAAAUAUGUUUUAUAUAUCUUUUAACUCAAACUCGCUAAACAGUGUAUUGUGUUUUGGAUUAAACUCUUUCUUCAGCAGGAACACCAAAUUUUUGAUAUUGUAUUCGUAUUUGACAUGCCCCAGUGCACACGAAUGCGAUCAUAUUAGCAACAACAACUUACUUUUAUAAAAGGUCUACAUUUCAUGUAGGAUUUUAAACCGAAGUUUUAUUUUGCAUUUGUUUGCUUAAACCUUGACCUGUUUUGGGCGAAACGUAUACAACUAAAUUUACACCGAAACUUAUGACCGAGUUAUGUAACUGUCACAGGCAGAGAAAAAUGUGUGGCCAUAACCUAACCGAUUUUAUCAACUUAACCUAUUUCAUGCAUGACCUGUUCGCGGCCAAAUGACGAGCUUUAGAUGGUUAGGUGGUUAGCUGAAGUGUAGUAACUGUUUGGAAAGAAUUAAGGUUAAUAGUAAAAUAGAAAAAUAUUGAUUUCGUAUGAUGAGAUUUUGUUAAGAAAUAAGGAUUUGUUAAUUUACUCUAUGUCGUUACGAGAUACCCGACAAGGUUUUAAGUUUCAAGUAUGGUCACAUUUUAUUUAAAAGGUUUGCGACCGAAAUAAAUUCUUAAAAGGUUCUCUCCAAAUAGUUAUCAUUAUUGUUUUUUUAGUGAAGACUCUGGUCAGAUCCUUUUAAAAACGAUAUAAGAAAACACUGGCUUGUGGUGCUUUUAAUGGACCUUUUCACUUUUUGGUAAAUUGACAAAAGUAACAAAGUUGUUUCAGAAUCGCAAAUUUUCAUCGUAUUUAUGAUAUUUGUGAGGAAACAGUAAUACUGAACAUUUACAAUGCUCUAAAAUAUCCAUAACAUGCAUCUUUUGACGACUUAAAAACCUGGACAUUAUAAUACGUUGAAACGCGAACAAAGUGAAUAAUUUGGAGAGUUAUGUUGGUGCCGUUGUAUUUUGUGACACUUCGAGGAUUGCAUAUAUAAAUAAGCACGGACGGCCGAGUGGUGUAAGCGUUAGACUUUAACUCCAGGGCUCAGUGUUUUGUUUGUUUGUUUGUUUGUUUUAUUUGUGCAUACAUGUCAAGCAAUUUACAAUUCAAUGCAAUCAAGGCAAUAAGUAACGUAUAGAUUGCAUUAUUAUCAUAUUCAGAAACAUGCAUUACAUGAAUGGUGCCAUUUAUCACAGAUCCAAAUAAGAUAACGACAUGAUGUAUACACAGGAUAACCCGUAAAGCUUAGACAUGUAAACAUGAAAAAGCUUAUUUCCAACGGGGUCCCUGGAUUUAGUCGAACAGAUCUUAUACGUGACUAUAAAUAUAUUGUUUUUUCAGUUCUUAAUAUAUAAUCGACAUGAUCCUACACAUGAUUUUUCUACGAAUUAAGUGAAUCUUUCAAAAGUUGACAUGAUAAUACAUACUGUUCGAGCCCAGUUGAGGGUUCCUUGUUUUUCUUUCUAUAAUUUUAUUCAUGUUUUUUAUCUAGAGUUUUUUUAAUCCAGUGUUUACAUUGAUCAAUAUAAAGCAUUUAAUGACAAACUUCAAUACAUGCCAACAUCUGUGAAACGGUCCCUUUAAAAUGUUUUCAAAAGAAGUUGUUUAACUGUGUAUUGAUUAUAUUAUUAUCUUGUUAGUUUUACCAUUGAUCACUUAUGAAUAUAUCGUGUUGUACAGUAUGUAUACACAUUGGCGUUAAGCUUAAUGUAUUUGGAAAUUAACGCUUACGUCUAUGACGUUUCCAAUAAAAAUAAAACAAAAUG